rnacentral:rRNA from 1 species
CGGGUGAGUAACGCGUAGGAACCUGACGCGCAGUGGGGGAUAACGCUGGGAAACCGGCGCUAAUACCGCAUGUGGUCGCAAGAAGAAAGCAGCAAUGCGCUGUGUGAGGGGCCUGCGUCCGAUUAGCUAGUUGGUGGGGUAAAGGCGUACCAAGGCACCGAUCGGUAGCUGGCCUGAGAGGAUGAUCAGCCACACUGGGACUGAGAGACGGCCCAG